rnacentral:rRNA from 1 species
UACAGAGGGUGCGAGCGUUAAUCGGAAUUACUGGGCGUAAAGCGCGCGUAGGCGGCUUUGCAAGUCGGGUGUGAAAUCCCCAGGCUUAACCUGGGAACUGCAUUCGAGACUGCAUUGCUAGAGUAUGGGAGAGGGAAGUGGAAUUUCCGGUGUAGCGGUGAAAUGCGUAGAUAUCGGAAGGAACAUCAGUGGCGAAAGCGACUUCCUGGACCAAUACUGACGCUCAUGUGCGAAAGCGUGGGGAGCAAAUAGG